rnacentral:lncRNA from 1 species
AGAUUUGGUUUGAACUUUAUUGUUGAUGCAUUUGAUUCACAAUCAUAGGAGUGGACCCAGAUACCCAACUCUCUCACCUGCAGGAGGCACAGUGGGAGCAGCAUGAGUAGAAUCCCUCAAGAAGAGAGCGAGUGAGAACUUCAGCAGCUGCUGCUCCUGCUAGUGGUGUUGCCAAUUGUGCUUUCUGCAGUUCGAGGCUGAAGUGAGACAAAGCAAGAUUCAAAGGGUGUUCAUAUUUUCCCCGCUAGAAAAGCAAAUGUGUUCCCAGCUCUCUUCUGUUGCUCUGCACCCAGCAAGCUCCCAGGAACACACCACGAAUCCCAGUCCUGGGGUCCCACAUGCCCUGCAGGCAUACAGGUCCAUCAGCCCUGCUAGAUCCAGUGUUUCUCUCUGCGUCCUAUUGACUCAGGACCCCCUGGCUGGGCAUCGAGGCCACAGGAGCCAUCCCUGGCAUCUGCCACUCAGCUGAGAGCAGCUGAGCAAGCUUUGGGCAGAAGGCUUCUCCCAGAAACUCCCCCCACGUCCUCUCCACAUUCAGCUCUAAACGGGGCUGCAAAUGAGCCAACCUAGAUCAGGCUGAGCUGCUAAAUCAUUUCAAGUGGGUGAUUCAUAUGCCAGCUAAUAAUAGCAGCUGCUGGCCAUGCCAGCACAAUGACUGACCAUGGAAGUUCCACAUGGCUGCAGGCUGCACCCUGUCAGCUGUCAUGGGCUGAGAUGGCUGUGGCUGGCGGUUUGCCCCUGAGGGCAGGUUUGCCCCUAAGGCCAAGCGUGGAGCUGCAAAACAUGCUGUGGGCAUUUCUGCCAUCGGGGCUUCUCCUCUGCUGAAUUGGAGCCGGGCACUCUCCCAAGGCGAGCAGAGCUCGGGUGAGGAGCUGGUUGAAACCCAAGCUGCUUCAGAACACGAAGGCCAGUUUUGACAAGGGAAUGAAAUCCAAGGCAGGGAAAGGAUGGAAUGCGGGGAAGUACAAACUGGAAGGAGGUUACAGAGAGCGAUGAGGACCAGGUCAGUGGAGGCUGAAAGCAAUCAGCACUGCCAGGAAUCAGCCCUUUUCCAGCAGCAGCCCUUUAGGUGGAUGAAGGAUUUGGCCGGUGAAAACAUUGCCAUGACCCUGGGGCACUGUGGAGUGCGUGGUAGGUCUUCAAGAACAACUAUCUCAAGGCAAGACAAGCACAUGGAAUUUUUCCCUGUGAUUCAGGAGGAC